rnacentral:rRNA from 1 species
GAUGAACGCUGGCGGCGUGCCUAAUACAUGCAAGUCGAGCGAACGGACGCGAAGCUUGCUUCUCUGAUGUUAGCCGCGGACGUGUGAGUAACACGUGGAUCACCUACUUAUAAGACUGGGAUCAAUUCGGGAAACCGGAGCUAAUACCGGAUAAUAUUUUGAACCGCAUGGUUCAAAAGUGAAUUUCGGUCUUGCUGUCACUUAUAGAUGGAUCCGCGCUGCAUUAGCUAGUUGGUAAGGUAACGGCUUACCAAGGCAACGAUGCGUAGCCGACCUGAGAGGGUGAUAGGCCACCCUGGAACUGAGACGCGGACCAGACUCCUAAGGUAGGCAGCAGUCGGGAAUCUUCGGCAAUGGGCGAAAGCAUGACGGAGCAACGCCGCGUGAGUGAUGAAGGUCUUCGGUUCGUAAAACUCUGUUAUUAGGGAAAAACAGAUGUGUAAGUAAAUGUGGACAUCUUGACGGUACCUAAUCAGAAAGCAACGGCUAACUACGUG